rnacentral:lncRNA from 1 species
GGAAGCCGCCGGGGCCGCCUAGAGAAGAGGCUGUGCUUCGGCGCUCCGGCUCCUCAGAGAGCCUCGGCUAGCUGGGAUUCUGUCCCUGACCGUCUUCACAGUCCAGGUGAUCUUGACUACUGCUUUACAGAGAAUUGGAUCUGAGGUGUGGAAACAGGAAGAGAACUAGAACUGGAAGUAAAGCAUUGAAGAUGUGACUGAAUUGCUGCAAUCUCAUGAUCAAAUUUGAAUGGAUGAGGAGUUGCUUUUUAGGGAUGAGCAAAGAAAGUGGUUUCUCGAGAUGGAAUCUACUGGUGAAGUUGCUGUGAACAUUGUUAAAAUGCCAAUAAAGGAUUUAGGAAUUA